rnacentral:sRNA from 1 species
UAAUAUGAAUAGAAAAAAAGAAGCCCUGCGUGAACAGGACUUCCUAGUAGAACCGUUAGACGGUAGCAUAAACUAAGAUAAAAUA